AUACGGAAGGUCCGGGCGUUAUCCGGAUUUAUUGGGUCUAAAGGGAGCGCACGCGGAGAUGCAAGCGUGACGUCAAAUUUCGGGGCUCAACCCCGUCUCGCGUCGCGAACUGCGUCCCUUGGUUGCGGGAAGGGGAGGCGGAACCCGUGGUGUAGCGGUGAAAUGCAUAGAUAUCACGAAGAACUCCGAUCGCGAAGGCAGCCUUCCGGCCCGUCAACGACGCUCAUGCUCGAAGGUGCGGGUAUCAAACAGGAUUAGAUACCCUGGUAGUCCGCACGGUAAACGAUGAUUACCCGCUGUCGGCGGUAGACAGUCGGCGGCCAAGCGAAAGCGAUAAGUAAUCCACCUGGGGAGUACGCCGGCAACGGUGAAACUCAAAUGAAUUGACGGGG
rnacentral:rRNA from 1 species